AUUGAACGCUGGCGGCAGGCCUAACACAUGCAAGUCGAGCGAGCGGCGGACGGGUGAGUAAUGUAUGGGGACUGCCCGCUAGAGGGGGAUAACUACUGGACACGGUGGCUAAUACCGCAUACUAUCGGAUAACCCCUAUGGGAUUAGCUAGUAGGUGGGGUAAAGGCUCCACUAGGCGACGCUCUCUAGCUGGUCUGAGAGGAUGAUCAGCCACACUGGGACGGAGAUACGGCCCAGAAUCGUACGGGGGGAGCAUUGGGGGAGAGUGCACAAUGGGCGAAAGCCUGAUGCAGCGAAGCCGCGUGGGGGAGGAAGGCUGUCGGGUUGUAAACCUAUUUCGCUAUCGAAAGGGUAGGUGGAGAAGAAGCGCCGGCUAACUACGUGCCAGCCGCCGCGGUAAUAC
rnacentral:rRNA from 1 species